rnacentral:rRNA from 1 species
UACAGAGGUCUCAAGCGUUGUUCGGAUUCAUUGGGCGUAAAGGGUGCGUAGGCGGCGCGGUAAGUCGGGUGUGAAAUCUCGGAGCUUAACUCCGAAACUGCAUUUGAUACUGCCGUGCUUGAGGACUGGAGAGGAGACUGGAAUUUACGGUGUAGCAGUGAAAUGCGUAGAUAUCGUAAGGAACGCCAGUGGCGAAAGCGAAUCUCUGGGCAGCAACUGACGCUGAGGCACGAAGGCCAGGGGAGCAAACGGG